rnacentral:rRNA from 1 species
UACAGAGGUCCCGAGCGUUGUUCGGAUUCACUGGGCGUAAAGGGUGCGCAGGUGGGUUGGCAAGUUUGAUGUGAAAGCCCCGGGCUUAACCCGGGAAUGGCAUUGAAUACUGCUGAUCUGGAGGAUCGGAGGGGGGACUGGAAUUCUUGGUGUAGCAGUGAAAUGCGUAGAUAUCAAGAGGAACACCAGUGGCGAAGGCGAGUCCCUGGACGAUACCUGACACUGAGGCACGAAAGCCGGGGGAGCAAACCGG